rnacentral:rRNA from 1 species
GGGGAAUAUUGGGCAAUGGACGCAAGUCUGACCCAGCAACGCCGCGUGAAGGAAGAAGGCUUUCGGGUUGUAAACUUCUUUUAAGGGGGAAGAGUAGAAGACGGUACCCCUUGAAUAAGCCACGGCUAACUACGUGCCAGCAGCCGCGGUAAUACGUAGGUGGCAAGCGUUGUCCGGAUUUACUGGGUGUAAAGGGCGUGUAGCCGGGAAGGCAAGUCAGAUGUGAAAUUCUGGAGGCUCAACCUCCAAACUGCAUUUGAAACUGCGGGGCUUGAGUGGAGCAGAGGCAGGCGGAAUGCCCGGUGUAGCGGUGAAAUGCGUAGAGAUCGGGAGGAACACCAGUGGCGAAGGCGGCCUGCUGGGCUUUAACUGACGCUGAAGCACGAAAGCAUGGGUAGCAAACA